CUUUGUUGUAUUUCUUUAUCUACUUAUUGUAUUAGUGUUUGAUAUCUAAAGAAUUGCAGUUUCUUAACCAAUAAAAAAUAUUUUUUCUCACAAAAUUUCAAUGUAAAUGAGGGCAAUUCAAUCACACCCUUCUGCUCACCUUGUUAGCUAUAGAACCUUGACAGGGAGUAUCUGAGGAGUUGGAAGGUCAUCACUUGCCGGGACAUGCUGCAUCAAUGGAUUUAAAUAUGCAUCCUUCGACUUCAGAAAAUUCUUGUACUAUUUCUAGUGAUGCUUUGCUGAAAAUCCAGGUAUAUGAUGCCCCUGUGUGCUAAUUUUACCAAUGAGAGUAGAUAGACAUACAGUGGCUCUCAAAUAUAGUCAUGCCUCAUUCUGUUGUUUGUUUAUAAGUUCAAAAUCAGAUUUUGCCGAUAAGCUUUAAAUUACUAGCUGAGAUUCAUGUUAAUUUACUUUCAAGUGUUUCCAUGUUUUCUUAACUAAAUAUUUGAUAUUGUUGGGUGGGAAGGAAAUAUUGGGUCCCUUGUUGGGAAGAGGGAAAGGGAGAGACUAGAUACUAUAGUUAAUGCAGUCCUUUCUUAAAGUUUUGCUACUAUUAUGGCAAAGAAUUUUUUUUUUUU
rnacentral:lncRNA from 1 species